rnacentral:lncRNA from 1 species
UCCUUUAGAAUUUUCACUCUUCCCUUCCACUUCUUUAAAUUUCCAAAUCCUUGGUUACUAUUUAUUCUCCCUCAACCUUGAAUUUUCUCUUUGAUUUCCCUUCUUUUCUUCAAAUUCUUCUUUGAAAAGGUGUUGGGAGAAGAUAGGUAGUUGAUUGGAGAUGGAAUUUUGAAGAAAUUUUGGUGUGAAAAAAAAAAGAUGGAGGAAUGGGUCUUCUCUUGGGUUCACGGGAAAGAGAGGAAAAAAAGUUGAA